GGCUUCAGGUCGAAGUGACC
rnacentral:misc_RNA from 1 species